GCAAACUUGGUCAUUUAGAGGAAGUAAAAGUCGUAACAAGGUUUCCGUAGGUGAACCUGCGGAAGGAUCAUUAACGAAAUUUUGCAUUAAUUUGCAAAUUUAACACACCUGUGAACUUUUAAAUUUUGCUUUGGCUGGGCUGUAUGGUUCAGCCAAACGAUUAAAACCUUUAUAUUUUAACCUGAAUCUGAAUUGAAAAAUUUAAUUUAAUUAAAACUUUCAACAACGGAUCUCUUGGUUCUCGCAUCGAUGAAGAACGCAGC
rnacentral:misc_RNA from 1 species